rnacentral:rRNA from 1 species
GAGUUUGAUCUUGGCUCAGAUUGAACGCUGGCGGAAUGCUUUACACAUGCAAGUCGAGCGGCAGCGCGGGGCAACCUGGCGGCGAGCGGCGAACGGGUGAGUAAUGCAUCGGAACAUGUCCAUGUCGUGGGGGAUAGCCCGGCGAAAGCCGGAUUAAUACCGCAUACGCCCGAGAGGGGAAAGUGGGGGACCGCAAGGCCUCACGCGAUUGGGUUGGCCGAUGUCCGAUUAGCUAGUUGGUGGGGUAAAGGCUCACCAAGCCGACGAUCUGUAGCUGGUCUGAGAGGACGACCAGCCACACUGGGACUGAGACACGGCCCAGACUCCUACGGGAGGCAGCAGUGGGGAAUUUUGGACAAUGGGCGCAAGCCUGAUCCAGCCAUGCCGCGUGCAGGAUGAAGGCCUU